UCAGCCCUAGGGCAAACGGUAUCAAGGUGUUUUAUUUCCAGAAGUCUCAAAAUAGGCUGGAAUAAAAAUUUGGGGAAUUCAUCAACACAGACAAUGGGUCCACGUCCUGCAGCUGCAGCUGCUGCAGCUACUCCUGCUGUCCACACCGUUCCACAGUGUAAAUACGCUGCGGGAGUUUGCAUUCCUCAGCAACAUCUUAAUGCACAGCCACAAGUUACAAUGCAACAGCCUGCUAUUCAUGUACAAGGUCAGGAACCUUUGACUGCUUCCAUGUUGGCAUUUGCCCCUCAAGAGCAAAAGCAAAUGUUGGGUGAACAGCUGUUUCCUCUUAGUCAAGCCAUGCACCCUACUCUUGCGGGUAAAAUCACUGGCAUGUUGUUGGAGAUUGAUAAUUCAGAACUUCUUCAUAUGCUCGAGUCUCCAGAGUCACUCCAUUCUAAGGUUGAUGAAGCUGUAGCUGUACUACAAGCCCAUCAAGCUAAAGAGGCUGCCCAGAAACCAGUUAACAGUGCCACCGGUGUUCCAACUGUUUAAAAUUGAUCAGGGACCACGAAAAGAAACUUGUGCUUCACCAAAGAAAAAUAUCUAAACAUCGAAAAACUUAAAUAUGGAAAAAAAUUGCAAAAUAUAAAAUAAA